GACGAACGCUGGCGGCGUGCUUAACACAUGCAAGUCGAACGGAAAGGCCCUGCUUUUGUGGGGUGCUCGAGUGGCGAACGGGUGAGUAACACGUGAGUAACCUGCCCUUGACUUUGGGAUAACUUCAGGAAACUGGGGCUAAUACCGGAUAGGAGCUCCUGCUGCAUGGUGGGGGUUGGAAGGUUUCGGCGGUUGGGGAUGGACUCGCGGCUUAUCAGCUUGUUGGUGGGGUAGUGGCUUACCAAGGCUUUGACGGGUAGCCGGCCUGCGAGGGUGACCGGCCACAUCGGGACUGAGAUACGGCCCAGCCUCCUACGGGAGGCAGCCGGCGGGACUAUUGCACAAUGGGCGGAAGCAUGAUCAAGAAGCGCCGCGUGCGGGAUGACGGCCUUCGGGUUGUACCCCGCUUUCGCCUGUGACGAAGCGUGAGUGACGGUAAUGGGUAAAGAAGCACCGGCUAACUACGUG
rnacentral:rRNA from 1 species